GACGAACGCUGGCGGCGUGCCUAACACAUGCAAGUCGAACGGAAAGGCCCUGCUUUUGUGGGGUGCUCGAGUUGCGAACGGGUGAGUAACACGUGAGUAACCUGCCCUUGACUUUGGGAUAACUUCAGGAAACUGGGGCUAAUACCGGAUAGGAGCUCCUGCUGCAUGGUGGGGGUUGGAAAGUUUCGGCGGUUGGGGAUGGACUCGCGGCGUAUCAGCUUGUUGGUGGGGUAGUGGCUUACCAAGGCUUUGACGGGUAGCCGGCCUGAGAGGGUGACCGGCCACAUUGGGACUGAGAUAAGGCCCAGACUCCUACGGGAGGCAGCAGUGGAGAAUAUUGCACAGUGGGCGGAAGCCUGAUGCAGCAACGCCGCGUGCGGGAUGACGGCCUUCGGGUUGUAAUCCGCUUUCGCCUGUGACGAAGCGUGAGUGACGGUAAUGGGUAAAGAAGCACCGGCUAACUACGUG
rnacentral:rRNA from 1 species